rnacentral:rRNA from 1 species
AAUGGCAGGUACAGAGGGAUGCUACCGGGCGACCGGAUGCGGAUCUCGAAAGCCUGUCCCAGUUCGGACUGGAGUCUGCAACCCGACUCCACGAAGUUGGAUUCGCUAGUAAUCGCGCAUCAGCCAUGGCGCGGUGAAUACGUUCCCGGGCCUUGUACACACCGCCCGUCAAGCCAUGGGAGCCGGGGGCGCCUGAAGUCCGGGACCGCGAGGACCGGCCUAGGGCGAAACUGGUAACUGGGGCUAAGUCGUAACAAGGUAAC